AAGAUAAUGAAAAUAAUUAAUAGGUGCCAUUCUGAACCACAUGGGUCCUGUUACACCGGUAAAGGCGGAGGGAUCGCUGAAAGACUGUGGUGAUAAGGAUGUCCUAGUAAGUAAACAGUAGGUUUUCUAUCUGGUUCCCAGAGAACAUAUCUUUCAUUCGCAGGAAUGUAAUAAACUGAGUUCUUCUUGUGCUCUAUAAGCUAAGCCAACCUCAAUCAGUGCAAAUCCACUGCCCUCACUGAAGCUUCAGUUCUUUAUGGCAGCUGAAUGUCUGACUGCACCGCUUACUGACCCAUCAGACAAAUCCAAACAAACACUUGACAAGGUUUGAGAGUCUGAGCCUCAAAACAAAACCAGAGGUCUACACCAGUGCAAAUGAUUUUUCCCAAAUUUCAGGGCUAAGCCUGGAGCUACUGCACAGGUCAGGUUAUCAUAAGCCACCUUUUGUUUCUCCAAGGCUUUGUUUCUGCCCAUGUAAUUUGAGCUGGAAAAAUUCGAUCUUGGGAUUGCCUAAAGGAAACUAUUUGCUUGCAUUUCAUAGGCUCCCUGAAGUGUGGGCAGCACUGCUGGCCCUGGGACACAGAAACACAGAGUUGUGACAAGCUGAAGGGAUGUUGAUUUGGGCCACAGGUGCACAGCAGCUUCUAAUCUUCUGCCUGCAUUUAGCCUGAGGCUAAAACAACAGCAUUAGUGAUGCCAGCAAUUGUAAGCUUAGUCUUUCUCUUGACAUACCAUCUCUGCAUGAGGCCAGUGGCACAUACAUCCCAGCAGCAGAAUAGCUGUGCUCUCUGAAGUUACACAAGAAAAACUUCCUUCCAUGCGCUGAGCCUCACUUGUAGCCCACCUUAAUUUCCAUGUACUCAGUACCCAGCAGCAUUGCAGACCACAAUGAGGCUUGCUGCAGGGAGCAAGCAAUGUCUGAAAGGGCCACAGGGUCAUCACUAUGUCCAGGAAUCUACCUAGGAGAGCAGAAAAGAGCAAAGAAGAAAAUAAUAACAAAAAUAAAGCUAGAAAAAUGCAAAAAUAAAGCAAAAAAUGCCCAGAAAAUAGCAGCAAAGAAAAAGUGUUGGGAAUAAAGUUGCUGAAAAUGUCAUUGCAAAGGUCAGGGCAGGCUCAGGGAGACAAUAAUGGCAGGAAUACUAAGCACGUCAGGAAAUGUAAAUACGUUCUUUUCCCAAUGUUCAAAGAAGGAUAAUGAGAGCGAUGCUGGGGACAGCCACACACUUUCAGGGGGAGUAAAAGAAAUAAUGGACUCCGCGUAAAGCCAAAGUGAAUGAUGUUGGCUCUUGUUGCAGGUUGUUGAAGUUUCAGUGCAAAGAUUCAGCUGCUGAGGAUCUCAGCAGUGAGCUGAGAGAAGCGGGGGCUGCACUAGAGGCACGGACCUCAUUAUGCUGCCACUGUGGUCUCAUGGCAAGGUCAGGUAAAUGUCGCAGGUUGUAAUGAAUCAGGGCCCUUCGAUUCAUCAGCUAGCGGGUCCACCUGGGUGGGAAGCACCUGGAGAAGUGUAAUUUGAUUAAAAAUAGUGUGCAAGGACUAACAAAAGAAAAUCAGGCUUCACAAAUCCUAUGGGAAGUUAUUGUUACUGAAGUGGAUGACAUUAAGAGCUGACUGGCAGAUGCCGUGGGUGUAAUUUACCUGGCCUUCAGUGCAACCUUCAGUACAGAAUAAAUGAAUACAUUAAAUUUGCAUUUAUAUAGCUUCUUUUUGUCCACACACCACAACAAAGUACUUUGCAAACAUCACAUGGGACAUACAAAAGAUGCAUCCAUGACAAAUUGGGAUGAAGAGAUUAUUGGGAAAGUGGUCCUGGAGAGGCUGUAGACUGCAGUCAUGGAUGUCUUUUGUUGGAGGUGCAUGGUACACACCCAGAUACCCAUAGUCUGUCCAUAGAGGGUCACUUAAUUGGGACAUAAGCCUGCAGACCAUUUGGAAAUUAUAGAAGUGAAUUCUUGCUGGCCAACUCACGCAGCCCCUCCCUCUCUCCAAGGGGAAUCCCCAAGCAAAGGAUGUCCAGGCUGUCCUUUACCAUCUUUUGGCUUUUAGGGUGUACAUUGGCCUAAAGUAGCAUCACACCUCCCACAUCCUGCAGCAGCAGCUGGAGCUGUAUUAGUCAGUAUAUCCUGCUGCUGUUGAGGAUAGCUCAUAAUGAACAAGUCCUGUAGCAAAAUGCACAUAAAAGCUUUUUUACUUUUAAGUGUCCUCUGCUGUAGCAACAAGGUAACACACUGCACUUUACAGAAGCACCUAAAACCUCAUUUAGAAUUGAUCAUAAUAUUUUAAUAGAUGAUGAGGGUUUUUCUUCAGUGAAAAACAGCAGAAUUCUGUCCAGGUAGCUGAGAUGUUGUUUAUGUCAUCCUUAUCAAAGCGUUAGUAUUUAUUUUUAAUUUUUAUUAAAGAUGGUUGUUGCACAGUUCUAUGGCUGAAAGUAUUUCUGCAGUUGAACCCUGCUAGCAGCCAUUUCAAAGCUAUGAAAGGCAGGAGGGCGUUUUCGCACUAAAAAAAUUUCAAAAUCGUGAUUAAUGUGGAAGAGUUAAAGAUGACUGUCAUGGCUCACUAAUGAAACCAGCUUGGAAUUUCAAAUUGUCAUAUUAGAAAAAUCCCUAUUAAUUGCUCCCCAAGGCCUAGCACCACAGCAGGGAAGCUGAGGAUUUGUCCUGUCACCUCAUUGUCAGUAAUGAAGAGAUUAACUCUGCCGUCUUUCUCUCAAAUGUAAUGGCCAAAUAAUAAAUAGAAGAUUAUGGCACAUACAGGAAAUGGACACUGGAUUCAUAAAUGUUUUCUAGCUUUAGUUCAACUGCACUUUAAAAACUGUGGCAUUUUUGUUUUACUGUGAAAAAAAUGGGAGAGAAGUCCUUCAAGCAGUUUCCUAAAUUCUGGGAAAAUAAAGAGAGGCCCCAGGAAGAGCCUUCCAACCAUGGAUUCAGGAUAUAGGCCAAGGACUGUAGCUCCAUGACCCCUGUUCCAGCAGAGAGGGACUAUAAUUUUGUCUCCCUGUGUUCAAGCCCAGGACACCACCACAGGUACAGCCCCAGCCAGGCAGCUCAUGGUCUCUGCCCUCUCCUGCAUGAUGUAGCCUUUGCUGCCCUAGGUAGUAAGUCUCACAGGAAUUGUGUCAGCAAGGAUUUCAGCAGUGUGCUGGCAGGAGGUCUGCACAGUAUUUUGCAGUUCCUGGUUGUUGGUUUAUCCUGUGGGCUUACAAGCGUUUCAUUAUCUCCAGCACUACCGUAGUCCCAUGCAAGCAUGAGGCUAUGUCCCUCCACAGCUCCAGGUACUGCAGACUUAUAUGUGGAAGGAAUAUCUAUCAGCAACUUUAAUGGCUCUAACUAGCUUUUUUGCAAUUUCCUUGUAGCCACUUUUUUUGCUGUUUUAAAGCUGUAUAAAGUGCUUUGCCAGUAUAAAUAACGGUAACUUAAAAAUCCAUCUGAGCUGUCCCUGACUUAUUCCAGAAGCAUUUACUACAUGAAACAAUUGUACGAAAUUGCACUGGCAGCCAAAGACAAGCUGUCUCCAGAGUCUGAUUUUAACAGAUUAUUUUUAUUAGAAAACACUGGGAAGUGUCAGUGAGUGACAACUAGGAGAACUGGUUUAUGGCUGUCCUUUCAACAGCUAUCUCUCCACACUUACUCCACAUCAAUCUUAAAUGAGUGUCUCUUUCAAGGCUUGUCUCAUCUGCUCCAGUUUUAGAAACAACUUAAUGAAGUGGAUUUAUCCCCUCUUCUCCACAUGGAAGCUUGGCUAGUUCUGCAUUUAUGUAGUUCCUAUGCACAUCUCAACCUUGAUCUCCUUUUCCUAAAAAUAUGCUUAUCAGCCUUUUGAUGAAGGGUGUUUCCUCCUCCUUUUUCAUUCCUCGAGGCUAACAUCUCUGAGCUGUACUCAUGCUCUUCCACAACUGUUAAUUUUUCAUAGUUCAGCUUUUAAUGAGGUCAGUAAUGGUUGUUGCAGGAUAUUUGUGAUCUCACUGCCUUCACGUUUCAGCGCUGUAAGGCCUAGGGCAUGGUCAACAGUGCCGUUUUUCAGGAAGGUGAUGUGCCUUUUUCCCAGGCUUCCAGAAUUAGUUGGUGUAUGUGCAUAGUGGAUUCAGCAUAAGCUUCUGAGAUGGAGCUAGAGUCUGCCUAAAAUCCCCAAUACUACACAUAUAUUCAUUAACAUCUAUGUUGUUUUAUAGUACUCAGAGUGCAUUUUAAUGAAACUUGGCUCUUAACACGUGCCAGGCCUAGGUCAGGCUCUGUUCCCAUCUGCUGAAAAAACCCCAUACUUUUAUGAUGGAAGAAAAAUUUUUUUUGGCACAAUGCAAAGAUCUACUAGUGCCUUCCUUCUGUGUUGCAUUCUUUUCAGCAGAAAUAUUGAUAUUCUUGCUUAUAAUGGGGAACAAGGGUAUAUAAUUUGAACUGACUCAUAUUCCAGGAGAUUUUUAUACAGUCUGUAGGUAUUCCUCAGUAAUCUGUGUUACGGGCUGGCCUGGGGGCCUCUUCUCUCCAGCCCCUCUCUCACGAGGACUGGUUGCAAUUUCGACUUCUGCGCUCAGUCCCUGUCCUUCACUCUAUCUCUUGCGGAGGGGAUGGGGAGAGAGGGGAUCCACCUGCAUGAAGUGGAAAAAACCCAAACCAUUCUGCCAUCCUUUGAGGACCUGAGCUCCCUCUGUGUCUGCCUCACAGGGAGGAUGGGACAAUUCCUCAUCCCUCAGGACACUCUGACUCUCACAGGGCUUCACAGAAUUAUCCCAUGUGGCUGUGGUGGUUGUGCUGCAGCUUUCCACUUUAAUUGGGCUGCUUUGCUAAGUUUAUUUUUUUAUUCUUUAAUUUUGCCUCUCAGAUCAUCAUGCUGACCAGUUCUCUGCUCUCAUACUCAAUAUCCCACAAUUACUAUUUUAUAUAAGACAGGAACCUCCAGCAGAGUCAUGUACUCCUCACUGUCACCCAAACUCAGUGUGCACUGGAGAGUUUUUAGACUUGCACCCUGAAUCAUGUCUUGCCUCUCUUCCACCUCAUCACUGUCUCCAGUGCUAUCAGCCUUUCUCUCCCUCCCAGGAUCCUGGGGGCCUUCCCAAUGGUGUGCAUAUUUGCAUAUGACUGUUGCUCUCCUUUUUUUCUGAUGUCAACAAUUGUCCCAGAUGCUGCAGAUGUAUAUUGAGGAGCCCACUCAAGUCUAAGGUGACUAAAUGAUUUCAGGAAUAAGCCAUGACUGAGUUUCCAGGGGUCAAAAAUGGAAAUACACAUGUAGUGCAAGUCUUGCUCGCUUUGUAUUCAGUUCACUGUCAAAAGAUACCACUGCACACCAGAUUUGUAUGGACUUCAUGGUAUCACUGGCAUUCAUGUUUUUAUGCAUUGGAAUAAUUGCUGGAGUGACCUUCUAUUAGCCCAUGUAUUGAGCAGUUUUGAAAGAGUAAUGAAUUCCUUUUGACUCCCAAAAACAGAGAAGGGAAUGGUCUGCCUGGUGGCAUUAGCAAGAUGACUGAACAACCAGUAGUCCUCUUGUUACAGUGAUGGGAAGAAGGGAUGAGCUGAAGAGGUAAAUUAGCUCUUUUCGUAUUGGAAUAGGCGGCAUGUAUAAAAAAGAAAUCAUUCAGAAACAACUGAGACGGCAUUAAAAACAAAUCAAAGAUACACACAUUCACCUAUUCUCACAGAAAACCCUGUGAGAAUUAUUUGGCUAAUCUUGUCCCCUGCCCACCACUGGGGCCAUCAUUUGUCUUUGCUUUGUUCUCACCACAAAAGUGCAAAUGGGGUGAAAAAUGGCAGGAAUCUCAUAACAAACACAAGAGUAAUAUUCGGCUGCUUUAUAAAUGAAAUCCAGCUUUAUCGGUUUUCCUGCACAACAACACCCAGUGCUAUAUGCUCAGGCUCUGCCUCAUACACUGCCUGUUGGAAUAGCACACUGGCUGGGAAACCAUUUUCAGAGAAUAUCCAUGGUCAUUUUCUGACUUCUCAAGAAAGAUUUUAAACCCUUGCCCAGGCAAGUCAAUGCUACUGGGAACAUUAAAGUCUGUCUUUGGUCUUUCCAGGGAGUCAGUAGCAUGUAUCCGCAGAAAUUUGGUGACACCUGGAAGAGCAGAAACGUGCUUUUUAAACUGAUUAAUUAGCAACUAUUACUGAAGUGUUGGCUGGAUUGCGCAGCUGGCUGAUUAACCUCUGCAACAGCAAAGCCUGGAGAAAAUUCACUGCAGCACUCGCAGGCCCACGGAACACUGGUUCAUGGGGGCUGUCACACUCCACUGGAGAUAGACAUCUGCUGGACACCUGAGCCCAGGUUGCAGCAUCUAACUGUGGGGCCACACUGUCUCAAGCUGAUGGACCCAUCCAGUCAAGCCUGCCCAAGGCUGUCUAAGGCUUGGGAAGAAAAUGUCUCUAACCUUUCUUACAGUGGCAGAGCCCAGUCCCAGCCUUUACAUGCAUUAUUCUGUUUUGAUGCAUUGCACGCAGAGACCAAGGGAAGACAAGGGCAUGCUGACCAGUGUUUUUCCUCUUAGAAGCCUAAAGCUAGAGAUCAAAACCCAAAGCCAGGUGUUUGAGGCAAAAAGAUUUUAUUUCUUUAGGUAUUCCAAACUGCUGAACAUUACAAACCCAGCAUAUGUCAACAGUACUGCUAAUCCUCAGCAAGCACGUUGCAACUCCUCACUGUUAAUGGUAAUGUAUGCACCUUAGUCCUUAGGAAAAAAUAUCAUGUCAAUUUGAUGAGAUGUCUCAAAAUGCACAGCAGCCUAAACUUAUGUCUGAAAAUAUCCUGGGCUUAUAAUUUAAUUUCUUAAAAGUGCAGGACCUGAGUAUCUUCAUUCCAUUUCUAAUCCUACUGGUCUAUUAAUAUAUGUGUGUCCUGAAAAGUAAAAGAUUACACAGAAUCUUUCACCUUUAUUAUCUGAGUAAGAGAACAACUAUCUAGCUUGCCAAGAAGACUUUGCUGUGCACAGGGAGUCAAAAGGAGAAAUUCAGGCUGUCUGCAUUAACAUGUAAAGCAGUGCAAUAGGAAUAGAUCUGUAGAGUGAUGGAACCGGUACCACGGACCAAAGUUGACACUAUCCAUCGGAAUAUUUUACUUUGGAAGAGCUCCAGUCUGGCCAUGUCAAUGGCCAUUAGAGGCUGGAAUUCAUUAGGAAUGUCCCACAUUGUACAGUUAAGUUUCAUCUGAAAAAACCCAGUUUGUGCACUCUGUAAUUAUGCCAUGAUGCAAAACAAUGCAUAGAAAGUGAAGAGGAUUAAGAUAUUUGCUUUUAAAGUUUCCCCCAAUUUGAACUAGAAUUUGAACCAAAGAAGAAAAACUCCCACAAUAUUUGACAAAGCACAUCACAUAUUUCCAGUUCUUAUGCAGUUCUCAUCCAGCAAAAAAAAGUGAGGAAAGAGAAAACUCACAAGCUUGUUCAGCACCUGUUGUAGCAUCUCCUGUGUUUUCUGAUGCAUAAAUGAAGCAGAAAGCCAUCAUUUAAAAACGUCUCAGUGAGUUGAGCACAUGUAAAACUGCAUGAUGAAGUCCAGGAGCUUGUUGUGACAUUGCACAAGCAGGCAUAAUCUGUGACAGGGGCUUUUUAGCUCAAAAGUAUGGCUAUUUAGUAAAUAUGGCUCAGGAAAUCUUACUCUGUGACAUGAAAAGAGAAAUUUAGAUUCAGGUUCAGCAUUUAUAUUAAACAGUUCUCUCCUUGCUUUAUGUACCCAUUCUGUUACCAUCCAUCUGAUCUCCAAACUAAACAGGUGAAGUUGCAUUUCUUCUUCACGAGACUAAAGCAACACAUACCACACUGGUGAGCAUUAAAUAGGAAUUUAUAUAUGUCCUUGAAGAAAUGCAGAAAACCUCUGCCUGUAAGGACAUGGAAAACUGUAAAUGGUGAAAAUAAAUUUUGGUUGACAAGGGGCUGUAGGAUGAGACCUCUCUUCAAGGAAAAAUCCCAAUAAAUUAAAGGUGACUUAAAAAAGUUUUGCUUUUAAAAGGAGAUGAAUCCAGAGGUCUGUCUCACCAGAACUGCAUGUAGCAGGGAUGUCUCAACAGAAGUGUGCCUACCAGGGAACACGAAGAGCCUUCCUGCUUACAAGGGCAGAAACGACUCAUCUCCAUGUUCUUGCACUGAAAUUUCCUGAAAAAAAUGAGUCUCAUGCCCUUGUGAAUUUGCCUUGCAUCCUCAUGUUUCAUGUGAUAAAACAUCCCUGGAGGAUUUGGCUGUUUCUCCAAUAUGAUUUGAGCUGUAGCAGCAUCUCCAGGAAACUAGGCGCUGCCCAGUGUUCCAUCAGCCUUGCAUGCAGUGGGGAGAGCACAGCCAGCCUGAGCAGCUGGGUCAGUGCUGAGGGGUCAGUGCCUUCUGAGAUCCAUGAGAGUAAAAGUAGUUGAAUCUUAAGAUGAGAUACAUAAGGCAAAACUUUGUGACCUCAACCAUUGGAGCCUAGGUGUAUAUUUUGGCCAAAACCUCGCUGAAGAACUUAGGAUAAAGUUUGACUCCCUACACAGCAUGGCAGAGAGAGAGAGAGGGAAAUCAAGAGCAGGGCAGAGCCUGACUAUUGGCUGUCUGGGUGUCAGGGUCUGCAUCAGGGCAUGUAAGUACUUUUGAAGCAAUCCUGCAGUGAACAACAGAAAAAUUCAGACUCUGCACGUGUGUGCAGGUCAUAGAACAGAGGUCAGAAAGCAGCUUGGGAUCAUCUGGUCCCACUUCAAUCCACAGCAGGGAUAACCAAAGUCAGAGUUGGUUACUCAGGGCCUUGUCCAGAGAGUUACUGAAAAAUCUGUUCUCUCUCACAGAGAAUUUUUUUCCUUCCUCUGUCCAAAGUAUGCCUCUCUACAGCCUCUGCUUUUAUCUUAAAUUUUGCAAUGCCUCACAUUCAUCUGCUCCUCUGUCACAGGUGUGCUCAUCACAGUCGGCCCCAGCCCCAGGACUGUCCCAAGCAGAGCAUUUUGCAUUUGUUUUUGUUGAAUUUCAGGAUGUUACAGCCAGGAUGUGGUCCCACAGAUCCCCAGUCAGCCUUUUUUAGAGCAGACCUCAGCUGGUAUAGCUAAUGAAGGCUCACCAAAAUCAGCAGCAAGACCAUUAGGAUCUGUCUUUGCAUUUAGAGAAAAGUGCUAAUGGCAAGGCAGUCCUCUAGAGGAUGUCAAGAAAAAGAAAAAGGACAUGAAAAAAACCAUAUAAACUGUCCCAGUCCCUUCAGUCUUUUCUUGGAUGAUUAGACAGAGAACUAUGUUGUACUUAUUCACUGGGUACCAAUUUCUUACAAACCAUGGCUGCACACAAACACACACUACCAUUUAGCAGGGCUAAUGAAAUGAUCCCUGAAGCAAAGAACUCGAACCCUUGUGCUAUGAGAAAAGCAGUUGUGCUGUGAAACAGGAGGAAAGUGUCCACUCUCUGGGACCAGCCGCUUGAGGGAGCCAAGAUGACAUCCACUAAGAGACAGCAGAUUACAUAAGUAUUUUUGAAGUGUUUCAGCUGUAAUCACUGUCUUCUGUAAUGUUAAAUCUGUUGGGUCAGAAAACUCUGAGAGCCUCUGUCUCAGAUUUAAAUGGUUUUUAAUUUGGCUUCCCAAAUUAAAGAGACUACACUCUGUUUGUGUGUAGUCUGUUCCCUUUGAUAACUUUUGAUGGGGUGUGUGUGUCUCAGUUUCCAGCAGAUUUGAUAGCUGUUCAGAAAGCUUAACAUUAACUUCUACAGACUGCAUGAAAACAGACAGAAAAUAGUCAUGAAAAUAGGUAAAGUGAGGUCCUUUUAUGAAAUCAGUUAAUAUAAUUGGAAAAAACAUACAACUACUUGGCCUGCAAAUUUUCUUCUACUGUCUCUGUUUUAAACAUUAGAGACUCCACAAAGGAGAAAGUUAUAGGAAAGCACUUAUAUGCCAUAGGAAAUCAGGAUGCAGAUGCUCAUUUAGAUAUUACAUAGUGACUUUUUCAAUAUGGCUUGAUUUCCUCCCAUGCCCUCCAUACAACUCUCUCUCUCCAAGACCCAGGUACUAGUUUCUCUCAUCUCAUGAACUCCAACUACUAUUUUAAUCUUAAGCCAACAUUUUCAGGAAUAUUAUGACUCCUAGGAGAAAGCUCAGUGAUUUAACUUGUCCUGGUUUUUUAGCCAGUGGGAUUUACCGUACAGUGAAGAUUUCUCCACGCAACCAGGAGAAUUCCACAUCUUUGGAUCCCACAAGAACUCUUGCCUUUCCUAAUGUACUACAUGAUUCAACAGCUCCAGUCUGAGGGUAUUUGCAUUCCAGCCACCUCAAUGACCCUCCCUAUGUGAGGGCAGUGGGACCUUGUACCCAUGGUGAUCUUUUUCCCAAAGGACUCCAAGUCAUGAUAUAAGCAAGGAAGAGAGAAAACUAGGACUGAAGGUGGAUUUAUUUCUUGUUCACAUCAAAAUGCAGAGACUGCUCCCUCUAUCAGGACCACGGCAUGUAAAGGAGAUGUUAUCAAAAUGCAUCUUACAUCCUGGCAUGAAAAACUUGUGCCAGCAGAGACAUUCAGCCAGUGGACAGAAAGACAAAGUUUUCAUAUUAACAGAUACUGUACCAAAUAAAUCAAUCAAAAAUAACAAUGAAUGACAACAAUGACAUUAUUACUAUACACUGAAAUACAGCAGCAGCAAGUCCAGCCUACAAUGCCACUUCACUCCAAGAAUAACCUCAGAAAGACCCCACCUGAGGACAGGAAUAGGAUUAGCACAUAACAGAAGGAUGAUAAUAAACAUCAUGCCUCUUGCCCAGAACUAACCUCUCUUCUGAAAAGACAAACGGUAUUGGUUCAAGGGUAUUAAAACAAGGAGCUUUUAAAAAAGACCUCAUUUUGCAGUGCAUGUCACAUCACCUGAUGUAGUAAUUGCAUGCAGCUGUUAUGAAAUUGUUCCACAUAUUCCUGGAAAAAAAGCAGUAAUUGGAAGACUUUUUGGAUGUUAUUACAUGGCAGGUACCUCCCAGGGACAACAACAAUAGCUAUUCAUCUGGUGGCAACAGUCUCCCAUAGGGAGCUCGGAGCUGCCUGCAGGAGCUGGUGUGGACCUGGGAAGUUACGUGCUCCGGCUUUUUGCUGAGGAAGACAACACAGAAUGCCCCUCUUGGGACUAAGUGUCAAUAUAUUAAAGCCACCCCAACCACAUCUGAGAGGAGACAUCAGCUGGCCAAAGUGUUUGUCCCAGAAGAUGGGGGAGCCCAGCCCAGCCUUGCCAGCUUGUACGUAGGCUCCAGCAAGGAUAGCUGGCCUGGCCUCACCAGCGAGGACUCCCAGGACCAGCUUAACCAACCCCGCACCAUGAACUGACCUCCUACUAUUCUCCAUGCCAAAUGAGUCCCAAUCUUUGCACCUGAGGAUUAAACACCACCUGUCUGGAAAUCUUCCGACCAGGCAGUUGGGAGAAUAUCUUAAGAACAGCAGCACACAAUGCACUCUCAGCAACUCCCUUUGCAGCAGGUUGACCCUGGUCUCCUACCAUCCACUCCAUGCUUCACUUUCUCCCCUGUCUUUGAAGAGUGUUGAGAACAGAGGAAAAUCAAUGUGGCUUUGUGAAAUAAUUGUGGAUUUUGUUCUGAGCAGAGAACUGAAAAAGCACAUUAUAGAUAUUCUGGAUCAAUAGGAUUCAUGCAACACUUGACCUUCUCCUGUUAGCUCUCGUACUAAUGCACUUUCAUCUUUACCUCUGAUUUGGGGGUCUUUAAUGGGAUCUACUGAAAAAAUGGUUUUCUGUGGAAAGCAUAAAAGGGUAUAAUCUGUGAGAAACGGGAACUACUGGUUUUCACAUAAUCAUACAAAAUUAUCACUUUCCCUUCCCUACUAGAGAUCUAUAAACUUCUUACUCAGAAGUCUGACUGUAAUUUAAGAGUACAAAUAAGAAACACAAAAUACAAAAUAUAAAAAGGAUGGAUUUAGGUUAUUUAGAAAGCUGAUGCAUAGACAUUCAGACAUUUUCCUGGUAAUUUAGCAGUCACUUCAGGAGACAACAUAACAUUUACACUUUGCAGCAGAAAAAAGCAAAGCAGCCUGCUAUCAAAGGAGUUGUCUCCAGCACAUUUUCUGACUGAGGUUUGAUGGUUUUUUUUUAAUCCCCUCUCCAGGUGUAUCAGUCUUGGUGUGAAACAGAAUAAUUACUGCUGGUUUGUAAGAAAAGGUGAUAAUUUGAAGCACAUCCUGGGCUCUUUUUCUUGAGGAUAUUUAGUUGAAAAACUGUUCUUUUCAACUGCAGUUUUCAAUAUUGCUAAAUUACUAUACCAUUCAAUAUAGGAGUGACUGAUUUGCUGCUACGUUGUUUGAGACUACAUUUACGUGACUGCUUGUGUAUUUACACUUCUUGGAAAAUUCUUUGGCAGCAAAUGAUACCAUUGAUUUCAUACCAAUUUGUUAUUUUACAAGAAAGUUAAUAUGGCUUAGUUUGACUCUUUCUGUUCUGCAUUUACAGGGGCUGAGGGUUCAAAAGGGCCCUUGCUUCAUCUAGGUGAUAUGUUUCCUAUAAACAGAGCUGGUCACAGUUUCAGACUGAAUUUGUAGUAGUUACUUUGCCAGGAAAAACAUUUUGUCAUUUGUUUGUUUUUGUAAAUAAACACAAGGUUUGAUUCACCAGUCCACCUACACUCUGUUUUGUCAGUGGAGCCACAACAGAAGAGCACUGGUUUUAUAAAUGGAGAAUCAGGCUUGCUAUAGUCUAUUGCUAAGCAUCAUAUCUUUUCCAGUCCCUCUAGCUAAUAAAAUUCUUUAUUUUACAGUAUUAUUCAUCCCUCCCUGCCCUCCUCCAGUCCAGAAUAUUCCCUAUAGUAGCCUGGGUCAGAGUAGAGGUUUGCAUCUUAACAAAAGCAAUGGGGCACUUCUCUUCCAAAAUCCAACCAAGACAUCCCAUCCCAUUGCAUGUUUCUUACUAAGAAGCAUUUGGCUGGGUUGUACAGGCCUUAGUUUUUCACCUAAAGAUGCAAGGAAAAUCCUAGCUGAGAUUAUAGUGCUAUCUACAUUAAUUAUGUACCUAAUUGUCAUUGCUCUGGAAGAAGAGACAACCCCCUGAGCUCCCUGGAGUUCAGGCUUAUUUGAUGCUCGUCUGCACUGGCUCCUUCUGCUCGGUUGGCCGCGACUCUUACCCUGCCAAACAUCUCUAGCCCUGUGGCAGGGACGAGGCUUUCAGGAAAUCCUUUCUGAACAUCAGCCAUAACAAAAAAAAAAAAAAAAAACAACACCCAAACCAUUAGCAUCACACUUGGCUGUGACUGCUUGGGUUAAACUGCUCUACCUUCCUGCAACAUUUUAUUUAUGACCUUUUGCAUUUUAUUUCACACGGUCCUUCAGUUAAACAACAGCAGAGAGCGUAUGCAACUGAAGGCUGCUCUGGAGAUGAUGGAUGAGGCUCCCCACGCUCCCCACCGCUUGUAGCCCAUGAGUCAUCUGCUAAUUUCCUCAGCUAAAACUGACAGACAAUUACCUGGCAUUUCAUCACAGCCAAACGGAUUUUUUUUUUUCCCCCAGAGCUCACUGUCUAUCUUUUGAUAGCAGUGACUACAAAAACUGCUGCCUAAAACAUUGUCUCUCAAAGCUUUAAUAUUUUAUUGUUAUUGCUUUGAGUUCUUGCUACACAAUACCAGGCAUCUUGCAUCUUUGCUGCUCCAAAUCUUUUCCUGUAUCUGCUUCUUUACAGCACAUUACCCAAGAACUAUUCUGUUAACUGCAUUAUAUAAGUACUGGAAUAAAUCAUGUUAUUGAUGAGUA